rnacentral:ncRNA from 1 species
UGCUAGGGGUGCCUUUGGCUGAGAGAUGAUUUUAAAUCAUUAACCCUUUUACCUGAUCUAGAUAAUACUAGCGUAGGGAAGCUUAGAUGUU